UUUGAUGAUCAUGAACCCCAACCGGUACACAUUCUUCUCAAGAUUUAAUUUUCUAUCUAAUUGAUUGUCUCUUUGUCUCAUUUUUUUUUCCUUAUAAAGUUUUUUCAUGUUGAAAUUCUCUGAUGAUCUUAACUGCUACAUGCGAGUGAACCAUAAAUUAUGUUUUCGUCUUCUAUCAGAAACUAGAAGUGGCUUUCAGGUUUCACCAGAAGCCAUUAUGAUGGAAUUGGUGUAUGAUGAUUGUUGUUCGGUUCUAUUUCAUGUAUACCCUAGUUGAGUACUGUUUCAAUGGAAACAUGAGUUUUUUUCUCUGAGCAAGUUGGUAAUGAAACACUGAAUCCAGCUGUUUGGUCUUAAAAGGUCUUUGAUCUAUAAUUUCCUUUUUUGUGUUAGGUUUGUACGGAUUAAUGCUAGUUGGCAUUGAAGUCUACCUUGGAAUUAAUGUUAUUUGGUAGUAGGUAGACAUUCACUAACUUGGUUUCUUUGCAAGUUGAGAUCCAAAAGAAAAAUUGAACCCUAUACCUAAUGCUCUCUAUUAUCCGUUUUUUUCUUGCAAGUUUCUUCAUUGUCGCUUUUGAAAUUGAUGAAUAGUGAUUUUUCUAAGUCUGCUUUGAUUACUAAUUGCAUUAUAUAAUCUGUUCAAGCAAAUGCAUGAGUUGGUGUUUUGUUUUUCUUUCAGAAUGUUGGCUUUAUGUUGUUCCUGUUCCAUAAAUGAGUAAUGAGAGUUUGCUUAUAUUGUGUACUGUGUAGUGUCAAUGCAUAAAUGAGAAAAGUCUUUGCGUUUGAGUUUGAAGAAAUCAAAUUGUGAAUAGGUUUCUUGGUACUAGUAUCUAAUGUGCUUCACCCUGAAGUCCACAAAUGAAGUCGUGAUAUAGAUAACAACGGAGAUGAAUAAUUGCUAAAAUGUUAUUUUUUCUACUGAAAUGGUUGAUCUUAAUUAAGUUGCUUAAUUGGUGUUAUAUCAUCUGAUUUUAUUCUUUGUUGGUUUGAUCUCUAGCUUUGAUGUCUAAGUGCAUGCACAAUGUCUUCAAAUAAGUUUAUCAAGUGCUUGUAAUCUAAAUUUGCAAUGAUUAUGAGUCAAAACAUUCAAGUCUGCAAAGUCCGUGUGUGUGUGUGUCUGCUGAAACCAUAUUGUAAAUUUGCUUAAGUACCAGAAUUGGUGUCUAAGGGCUUCACACUGAAAUCAUUCUUUGAAGUCAUAAAACAGAUAACAAAUGGGGAGACACAUGGCUUUUGAAAGAUGAUAUCAAAUAUCAUGUGGGAAGACAUUUCAAGGAUAUAUCUAAUUCAAGGUUUAUCGGAAGUGUACAGAUACUUACACAUUUGUAAGCAUGGUGGAUUAAGUGGCUAGACAAGGAGCCAAAGAUUGGCAAAAUCACUAUGAUCAGAAUCCACAGAUGCACCAGCACUUCCUCUCGUCUCUUUGCAUAUCAUAUAAACCGAGAACAUUUCUCAGGUAUUUCGUCUCUACAUUUUUAGGCAAGAACUUGAUUCAUGUUGAUGCAUGGUGUCAGUCAAAAGGUGUGUGUGUGUUGUGCUCUCCAAUUGAUGUGUCUCCCAUUUUGUUUCAUUUGGGUUUUUAAUCCACAUUAUAUGCUAGAACCUGUAACCAAGCUUAUUGAUCAGGACUUAAUUUAAUCAUCUUAUAUGGUGAGUUACAGUUCUAGCAUCUACUUGUUUCAUGUAUUGUUUAGUCAAGAACUUGAUUCAACUUGAUUCAUCUGACUGUAAGAUCGAGAUAUCAAAAGGGGUAAAAUAAGUAACAACGCAGCCCAUAUCCAACAUUACCAUAUAUUGUUCAUCGAUAUUACUAUUUUUGCCCUAGGUCUAUUAAGCUAAACCAGUUCAUGCGUUUUCUCUAAUCUAUUCCUUUGAAACAACAUAUUUUAAUGGGGUAAUAGAUUGUUAUCUUUACAUAUGUUAUUGUAUGAACUAAUUUUUGCAUGUCAAUCAUGUUGGUAGCAUCUUUUCCUAAGCUUAAAUUUAAGGGUCAGGAAAUGAGAAUCUACUGUUGAUCGGUAGAUACAGAUUUGUUUUGAAUCAAUGCUUUAAAUCUAGUUGGUUCUGAUAGUUUGUGUUAGUACAUUGUAUGGUUUCUCCAAUUAAUGUACUACGUUUGUUU